GGGACACGUGGUAUCCUGUCUGAAUAUGGGGGGACCAUCCUCCAAGGCUAAAUACUCCUGACUGACCGAUAGUGAACCAGUACCGUGAGGGAAAGGCGAAAAGAACCCCGGCGAGGGGAGUGAAAAAGAACCUGAAACCGUGUACGUACAAGCAGUGGGAGCCUCUUUAUGGGGUGACUGCGUACCUUUUGUAUAAUGGGUCAGCGACUUAUAUUCUGUAGCAAGGUUAACCGAAUAGGGGAGCCGAAGGGAAACCGAGUCUUAACUGGGCGUUAAGUUGCAGGGUAUAGACCCGAAACCCGGUGAUCUAGCCAUGGGCAGGUUGAAGGUUGGGUAACACUAACUGGAGGACCGAACCGACUAAUGUUGAAAAAUUAGCGGAUGACUUGUGGCUGGGGGUGAAAGGCCAAUCAAACCGGGAGAUAGCUGGUUCUCCCCGAAAGCUAUUUAGGUAGCGCCUCGUGAAUUCAUCUCCGGGGGUAGAGCACUGUUUCGGCAAGGGGGUCAUCCCGACUUACCAACCCGAUGCAAACUGCGAAUACCGGAGAAUGUUAUCACGGGAGACACACGGCGGGUGCUAACGUCCGUCGUGAAGAGGGAAACAACCCAGACCGCCAGCUAAGGUCCCAAAGUCAUGGUUAAGUGGGAAACGAUGUGGGAAGGCCCAGACAGCCAGGAUGUUGGCUUAGAAGCAGCCAUCAUUUAAAGAAAGCGUAAUAGCUCACUGGUCGAGUCGGCCUGCGCGGAAGAUGUAACGGGGCUAAACCAUGCACCGAAGCUGCGGCAGCGACGCUUAUGCGUUGUUGGGUAGGGGAGCGUUCUGUAAGCCUGCGAAGGUGUACUGUGAGGUAUGCUGGAGGUAUCAGAAGUGCGAAUGCUGACAUAAGUAACGAUAAAGCGGGUGAAAAGCCCGCUCGCCGGAAGACCAAGGGUUCCUGUCCAACGUUAAUCGGGGCAGGGUGAGUCGACCCCUAAGGCGAGGCCGAAAGGCGUAGUCGAUGGGAAACAGGUUAAUAUUCCUGUACUUGGUGUUACUGCGAAGGGGGGACGGAGAAGGCUAUGUUGGCCGGGCGACGGUUGUCCCGGUUUAAGCGUGUAGGCUGGUUUUCCAGGCAAAUCCGGAAAAUCAAGGCUGAGGCGUGAUGACGAGGCACUACGGUGCUGAAGCAACAAAUGCCCUGCUUCCAGGAAAAGC
rnacentral:rRNA from 1 species